rnacentral:rRNA from 1 species
UGGGGAAUAUUGCACAAUGGACGCAAGCCUGAUGCAGCAACGCCGCGUGAACGAUGAAGGUCUUCGGAUCGUAAAGUUCUGUUGCAGGGGAAGAUAAUGACGGUACCCUGUGAGGAAGCCCCGGCUAACUACGUGCCAGCAGCCGCGGUAAUACGUAGGGGGCUAGCGUUAUCCGGAUUUACUGGGCGUAAAGGGUGCGUAGGUGGUCUUUCAAGUCGGUGGUUAAAGGCUACGGCUCAACCGUAGUUAGCCUCCGAAACUGGAAGACUUGAGUGCAGGAGAGGAAAGUGGAAUUCCCAGUGUAGCGGUGAAAUGCGUAGAUAUUGGGAGGAACACCAGUAGCGAAGGCGGCUUUCUGGACUGCAACUGACACUGAGGCACGAAAGCGUGGGUAGCAAACAGG